rnacentral:rRNA from 1 species
UACAGAGGUCCCGAGCGUUGUUCGGAUUCACUGGGCGUAAAGGGUGCGUAGGUGGUGAGGUAAGUCGGAUGUGAAAUCUCCAAGCUCAACUUGGAAAUGGCAUUGGAAACUACCUUGCUCGAGGGUUUGAGGGGGGACUGGAAUACUUGGUGUAGCAAGUGAAAUGCGUAGAUAUCAAGUGGAACACCAGUGGCGAAGGCGAGUCCCUGGAAAACUCCUGACACUGAGGCACGAAAGCUAGGGGAGCAAACAGG